rnacentral:rRNA from 1 species
UACAGAGGUCUCAAGCGUUGUUCGGAUUCAUUGGGCGUAAAGGGUGCGUAGGUGGCGCGUUAAGUCAGGUGUGAAAUUUCGGAGCUUAACUCCGAAACUGCAUUUGAUACUGGCGUGCUUGAGGACUGGAGAGGAGACUGGAAUUCAUGGUGUAGCAGUGAAAUGCGUAGAGAUUAUGAGGAAGACCAGUGGCGAAGGCGGGUCUCUGGACAGUUCCUGACACUGAGGCACGAAGGCCAGGGGAGCAAACGGG